UUAAAAAUGGUGGCUGUAAUGGCUGUAUUAGUUUUUUUACUCUAUACGAUAAAAAGGGAAGGUCCUGCAUGUGUUUCAGGAUUUCCAGUUCCUAAGCCCCGACCGAUGUGGAAUUGUGUUAGAAAGAGUGGACCUUCCCAGCACCGUGCACCUUCCACUUCGAGAUCUACAACAAGUUCAUACAAACGAAACGCACAUCUUCAACAUUACGCGAGCAGGCUUACCAAUCCUCAGACAUAUCAAGCGGAAAAACUUCGCAAACUCUGAUGCAGAAUCCUUUUGUUCCAUAGCAUGAAACGAGGGCGGAUCAAGAAAGAAGAAACAAUCAUUACACCACUGAAUUGUCAGCGCAAUACAAGUCAAAUAUCACCUUUACGAACAGAGUGCACGGGUAUGGCAUAUGCAAAGAUACAAGCAAGAGUAAUGCAACUCAUCAUUUACGAGAGAAAAUACCUCGAUGCGCCAGUCAUUUUAUCUUCAGAACAUUUACUGUACUCACUCACAUACAACAGAGUACACUGUAAACACUGACUUACUUUGAUGGCAUGGCGCAACUCAGUCGCAGCACAUGGAUGACCGUAACUUACUUGAAGGCUCUGUUCUUUCAAAUAAAAAAUCAGUGCCCUUA